CCUAAAUUAUAAUGGGGGUUCAUUUUCUAUGUGUGCAUUAUUUUCAAGAUUAUAUCAUUUGAGAAAAGCUCAUGAAAAAUUAAUAGUAUUUUCUCGUGUAUUUCUUUGUGUAUAUACAAAGUAUAUAAAUGUUUUAUGAAUUCAUGUACAUCUUCAUAUAUGAACUUCUUUCAUCAAUAUUCUUACCAACCAUCUGGGAGACUCUGGAAUAAGAAAGAGACCCAAAAGUAGAAUAGCGAUGGGAAUGAGACCUGCAAGUACCUCACAAAUAAAAGCACAAAUAACUUGAAGGAGUAAAAUAUACAAACCUCAGCAAAGUAUAUAGCAAGCCACCCUGCAGUGCAGACAGCAGCAGAUACUCUCAUCGCCUGCAUAGAUUCCGCAAUAGAUAUGUUGCUACAUGGAGAUUUUUGCAAAUAACCCUUGCACUCAUCCAAGGAAAAAGGAGAAUGAUUGAGACGAAAAUGAUCAGCUUGAAUUUCUUUGUAAGACUAGGAAAAAGAGAAGUAAAAUGGUGAAAGAAACUUCAUAUAGAUCGUAGUAUAUGGACCUCCAUUUGUUGAGAAAUAAUCUCACAUUGUCUGUGAACAAGGUCUUGGACAUGUUUAUAAAGAAUGAGUAAUCAUCUCUUAUUGAAUUGGUUAUAUAAGAUGAGUUAGGCUCAUAAAUCAUUUACCUCCUAUUUGUAUAUGGAACUGUUUUGUGGUC